rnacentral:rRNA from 1 species
GAUGAACGCUGGCGGCGUGCCUAAUACAUGCAAGUCGAGCGAACGGACGAGAAGCUUGCUUCUCUGAUGUUAGCGGCGGACGGGUGAGUAACACGUGGAUAACCUACCUAUAAGACUGGGAUAACUUCGGGAAACCGGAGCUAAUACCGGAUAAUAUUUUGAACCGCAUGGUUCAAAAGUGAAAGACGGUCUUGCUGUCACUUAUAGAUGGAUCCGGGCUGCAUUAGCUAGUUGGUAAGUUAACGGCUUACCAGGGCAACGAUGCAUAGCCGACCUGAGAGGUGGUCGGCCCCCCUGGGAGUGUGACAGGGGCCAGAGUGCCACGGGGAGGCGCAGUAGGGAAACGUGCGGAAGGGGGGGAAACCAUAGCGGAGAAAGCCGAGGGAGGGAUGAAGGGCGUCGGGUGCGGAAACUCGGUUUUUGGGGGAGAAAAUGUUUGUAAGUGACAUGGCACAUGAUGGACGGUACUAAGUAAAAAAGCACCGGCUAACUACGUG